UACCUGGUUGAUCCUGCCAGUAGUCAUAUGCUUGUCUCGAAAGAUUAAGCCAUGCAUGUCUAAGUAUAAGCAAUUUAUACAGUGAAACUGCGAAUGGCUCAUUAAAUCAGUUAUCGUUUAUUUGAUAGUACCUUACUACACGGAUAACCGUGGUAAUUCUAGAGCUAAUACAUGCUAAAAACCUCGACUUCGGAAGGGGUGUAUUUAUUAGAUAAAAAACCAAUGCCCUUCGGGGCUCCUUGGUGAAUAAUAAUAACUUAACGAAUCGCAUGGCCUUGCGCCGGCGAUGGUUCCUUCAAAUUUCUGCCCUAUCAACUUUCGAUGGUAGGAUAGUGGCUACCAUGGUAUCAACGGGUAACGGGGAAUUAGGGUUCGAUUCCGGAGAGGGAGCCU
rnacentral:rRNA from 1 species